rnacentral:rRNA from 1 species
GUGACUGCGUACCUUUUGUAUAAUGGGUCAGCGACUUAUAUUCUGUAGCAAGGUUAACCGUCUAGGGGAGCCGCAGGGAAACCGAGUCUUAACGGGGCGUUAAGUUGCAGGGUAUAGACCCGAAACCCGGUGAUCUAGCCAUGGGCAGGUUGAAGGUUGGGUAACACUAACUGGAGGACCGAACCGACUAAUGUUGAAAAAUUAGCGGAUGACUUGUGGCUGGGGGUGAAAGGCCAAUCAAACCGGGAGAUAGCUGGUUCUCCCCGAAAGCUAUUUAGGUAGCGCCUCGUGAAGUCAUCUUCGGGGGUAGAGCACUGUUUCGGCUAGGGGGUCAUCCCGACUUACCAACCCGAUGCAAACUGCGAAUACCGAAGAAUGUUAUCACGGGAGACACACGGCGGGUGCUAACGUCCGUCGUGAAGAGGGAAACAACCCAGACCGCCAGCUAAGGUCCCGAAGUCAUGGUUAAGUGGGAAACGAAGUGGGAAGGCUCAGACAGCCAGGAUGUUGGCUUAGAAGCAGCCAUCAUUUAAAGAAAGCGUAAUAGCUCACUGGUCGAGUCGGCCUGCGCGGAAGAUGUAACGGGGCUAAACCAUGCACCGAAGCUGCGGCAGCGACAUUUAGAUGUUGUUGGGUAGGGGAGCGUUCUGUAAGCCGCAGAAGGUGGCCUGUGAGGGCUGCUGGAGGUAUCAGAAGUGCGAAUGCUGACAUAAGUAACGAUAAAGCGGGUGAAAAACCCGCUCGCCGGAAGACCAAGGGUUCCUGUCCAACGUUAAUCGGGGCAGGGUGAGUCGACCCCUAAGGCGAGGCCGACAGGCGUAGUCGAUGGGCAACAGGUUAAUAUUCCUGUACUCGGUGUGACUGCGAAGGGGGGACGGAGAAGGCUAGGCCAGCCGGGCGACGGUCGUCCCGGUUGAAGCGUGUAGGUGGGUGGUUUUGGAAAAUCCGGACCGCUGAUAACACUGAGGCGUGAUAACGAGGCACUACGGUGCUGAAGUGGUUGAUGCCCUGCUUCCAGGAAAAGCCUCUAAGCAUCAGGUCACAUUGGAUCGUACCCCAAACCGACACAGGUGGUCAGGUAGAGAAUACUCAGGCGCUUGAGAGAACUCGGGUGAAGGAACUAGGCAAAAUGGUGCCGUAACUUCGGGAGAAGGCACGCUGGCGCCAGGUGAAGGAACGAGCUUCCGGAGCCGAGGCCAGUCGCAGAUACCAGCUGGCUGCAACUGUUUAAUAAAAACACAGCACUGUGCAAACACGCAAGUGGACGUAUACGGUGUGACGCCUGCCCGGUGCUGGAAGGUUAAUUGAUGGGGUUAUCGCGUUGCGAGAAGCUCUUGAUCGAAGCCCCAGUAAACGGCGGCCGUAACUAUAACGGUCCUAAGGUAGCGAAAUUCCUUGUCGGGUAAGUUCCGACCUGCACGAAUGGCGUAAUGAUGGCCAGGCUGUCUCCACCCGAGACUCAGUGAAAUUGAACUCGCUGUGAAGAUGCAGUGUACCCGCGGCAAGACGGAAAGACCCCGUGAACCUUUACUAUAGCUUGACACUGAACCUUGAGCCUUGAUGUGUAGGAUAGGUGGGAGGCCUGGAAGUGCGGACGCCAGUCUGCACGGAGCCAACCUUGAAAUACCACCCUUGAAUGUUUGAUGUUCUAACGCAGGCCCGUGAUCCGGGUUGCGGACAGUGUCUGGUGGGUAGUUUGACUGGGGCGGUCUCCUCCCAAAGCGUAACGGAGGAGCACGAAGGUUAGCUAAUCACGGUCGGACAUCGUGAGGUUAGUGCAAUGGCAUAAGCUGGCUUGACUGCGAGAGUGACAGCUCGAGCAGGUGCGAAAGCAGGUCAUAGUGAUCCGGUGGUUCUGAAUGGAAGGGCCAUCGCUCAACGGAUAAAAGGUACUCCGGGGAUAACAGGCUGAUACCGCCCAAGAGUUCAUAUCGACGGCGGUGUUUGGCACCUCGAUGUCGGCUCAUCACAUCCUGGGGCUGAAGCAGGUCCCAAGGGUACGGCUGUU